ACGCUGGCGGCACGCCUAACACAUGCAAGUCGAACGAAGUAGCAAUACUUAGUGGCAGACGGGUGAGUAACAUGUGGGUAUCUGCCCUUUGGCCUGGAAUAACACGAGGAAACUUGUGCUAAUACCGGAUAAGUCUUUACAGAGAAAGCUUUAUGCACCAUUGGAUGAGCCUGCACUUGAUUAGUUUGUUGGUGGGGUAAUGGCCUACCAAGACUGUGAUCAAUAGCUGAUUUGAGAGGAUGAUCAGCCACAUUGGGACUGAGACACGGCCCAAACUCCUACGGGAGGCAGCAGUGGGGAAUCUUGCACAAUGGAGGAAACUCUGAUGCAGCGAUGCCGCGUGAGUGAAGAAGGCCCUUGGGUUGUAAAGCUCUUUCGUCGGGGAAGAAAAUGACUGUACCCGAAUAAGAAGGUCCGGCUAACUUCGUGCCAGCAGCCGCGGUAAUACGAAGGGACCUAGCGUAGUUCGGAAUUACUGGGCUUAAAGAGUUCGUAGGUGGUUGAAAAAGUUGGUGGUGAAAUCCCAGAGCUUAACUCUGGAACUGCCAUCAAAACUUUUCAGCUAGAGUAUGAUAGAGGAAAGCAGAAUUUCUAGUGUAGAGGUGAAAUUCGUAGAUAUUAGAAAGAAUACCAAUUGCGAAGGCAGCUUUCUGGAUCAUUACUGACACUGAGGAACGAAAGCAUGGGUAGCGAAGAGGAUUAGAUACCCUCGUAGUCCAUGCCGUAAACGAUGUGUGUUAGACGUUGGAAAUUUAUUUUCAGUGUCGCAGCGAAAGCGAUAAACACACCGCCUGGGGAGUACGACCG
rnacentral:rRNA from 1 species